GGCGGCGUAGCUCAGCUGGUUAGAGCGUCGGAAUCAUAAUCCGCAGGUCCGGGGUUCAAAUCCCUGCGCCGCUACCA
rnacentral:tRNA from 1 species